rnacentral:hammerhead_ribozyme from 1 species
CAUUGCUGAGGAGUCCCACAAUAGGACGAGACAGCUGUCCAGAGA